rnacentral:rRNA from 1 species
GGAUCAUUACUGAGUGAGGGUCUCCGGGCCCGACCUCCAACCCCAUGUAUUCCGACUCUGUUGCCUCGGGGGCGACCCUGCCUUCGGGCGCUGGGGCCCCCGGUGGACACCACAACUCUGCAUCUUUGCGUCUGAGUAACACUUUGAAUUAAAUCAAAACUUUCAACAACGGAUCUCUUGGUUCUGGCAUCGAUGAAGAACGCAGCGAAAUGCGAUAAGUAAUGUGAAUUGCAGAAUUCAGUGAAUCAUCGAAUCUUUGAACGCACAUUGCGCCCCCUGGUAUUCCGGGGGGCAUGCCUGUUCGAGCGUCAUUACACCACUCAAGCCUCGCUUGGUAUUGGGCGCCGCGCUUCGGCGCGCGCCUCAAUGUAUCCGGCUGAGCCUCCUGUCUCUAAGCGUUGUGGCACUUUAUGUUUCCGCUUUGUGAGCUCGGGAGGCCUCGCGCCGUUAAACACCCCAUCAAAGGUUGACCUCGGAUCAGGUAGGGAUACCCGCUGAACUUAAGCAUAUCAAUAAGCGGAGGAAAAGAAACCAACAGGGAUUGCCCUAGUAACGGCGAGUGAAGCGGCAACAGCUCAAAUUUGAAAUCUGGCGCAAGCCCGAGUUGUAAUUUGUAGAGGAUGCUUCGAGGCAGCGGCCGGUCUAAGUUCCUUGGAACAGGACGUCAUAGAGGGUGAGAAUCCCGUAUGUGACCGGUUGGCACCUCAUACGUAGCUCCUUCGACGAGUCGAGUAGUUUGGGAAUGCUGCUCUAAAUGGGAGGUAAAUGUCUUCUAAAGCUAAAUACCGGCCAGAGACCGAUAGCGCACAAGUAGAGUGAUCGAAAGAUGAAAAGCACUUUGGAAAGAGAGUUAAAAAGCACGUGAAAUUGUUGAAAGGGAAGCGCAUGCAACCAGACUUGUCGGCGGUGUUCCGCCGGUCUUCUGACCGGUCUACUCGCCGUCGGCAGGCCAGCAUCACUUGGGGUCGCCAGAUAAAGGCCCGGGAAUGUAGCUCCUCGGAGUGUUAUAGCCCGGCGCACAAUACGGCGCAUCCCGAGUGAGGUCCGCGCU